AAGUCGUAACAAGGUUUCCGUAGGUGAACCUGCGGAAGGAUCAUUAAUGAAAUGAUGUUUUUUGGGGUUUUAAUCUCAAAAAAUAAUUCACCCUUUGUGCAUUGUUAUUAGAUAUACUUUGGUUAAAGCUUUGGUUCCGAAACAAUUGGGAUCAACUUCUUGCUGACUCUAUCCUUUCUGAGGACAGUUGGCUAUGAAGCGGCCUACCAAGGUUUUUUUAUCAAACUCUUGUAUUUUAUCUGACCUAAACUAUUAUAAUUAAAUCAUAACUUUCAACAACGGAUCUCUUGGCUCUC
rnacentral:misc_RNA from 1 species